GGUGAGCUGCGUUCUGAGAGACCCCCUGUACUCAGGUGGGAAUGUGGCCCCGGCCUUUCAGAGGCGCGGGGCCGUGAGAUGCGGGGUGGGGCUUGCGCCCUCCCUGGAAUCGGGGCUGGGAUCCCGACUGCGGCCUUUGGCCGUGCCGCCCCGCUGCCUGGCUGCUGAGAGUUGCUCCUGCCGCUGGGGGGGAAACCGAGCUCUGUGGCUCCAGGGGUGUUGUCCACCCGCCUGUAAUCAGGGUCUGGGUGCGCGAGCGUUUGUGCUCUGCUGGCAGCCUGUGUGGGGUGACCGCCCCGCUAGCGGGGUGUGGGUCGAGGUGCCCCGGACUGGGAGAGAAGGAGCCUCCCUCGGCCGUAGGGAUGGGGGCUGCCCUGUAAGUCAGGGAGCAUCUGUGUCCCGGAGUCCCAGGCCCUUUUCAAUGGCGGCAGUGGCCGGGGGUCCCCUGUAAGCAGGGAAGCUGACUCUUUGGCUGCUGCUUUUUGUGUGCCCAGCCCCAUUUGCCCAGUCUGCCCGCCUCUGUGAUCCCCCGCAGCACUGGCUGGAAGUCCGCCGCGUGUCAGUGAGGAGCUGCUGCAGAAGGAAGAAGAAGAAGCGGCGUGGGGACCUGGGAGGCAGGAGCAAGCAAGAAGAGGAAGCGGAAGCGUGCAGAUGCGGGGGGGAAGGAGAGAGGCUCCCUGGGCAAAGCACCUGUCCCGUUAGCAGGGGCACAGUCACGUUUGAGUUGAGAGCUGCCGGCGCCUUUGGUGACCAGGCUGGCGUUGUGCUGGGCGACCUCCCCGUAAGCGGGGCUCGGGUCUUUGCUGUAGUUGGCCUUUUGCCUUGCUGCUCCUAGGGCUGCCUGGGGAGCGUGGCCCCCUGUAACGGAGGGCGAGAGCCACCUCUCCGCACCUGAGUGGGAAAUGGAGCUCGCCGGACCCCGAGGCCACCCUGUAAGCAGGGUAGUGCCGUUUCCCUGCCCCUCUUCCUCCCCCGGCCCCUCGGCAUCGUUGCCUGAUGGUGGCUUGUCAACGCGACGCCCCGUACUCGGGGUGUGCGUCACGGCAUUUGGCCGCUGGCUUUACCUGAGAAGCCCCUUGGCACGUUGAGGUCUGUGGCCUCCGUGCAGCCUAGGGACAGGUCACAGGCUCUUGUCUGUUGCCCGUGGUUGUGGGUUUAUUCCCAGGUGUUGGCUGUGCUGCGUUGUCCUUCCCUUCUGGAAAGUCGUGCCUGUGUGUGCGUGUUCCCCUUCCUUUCCUUGUUUGUGUUUGUGGAGUGGUUGAGCGGCUGUGCUUUCCCUUUAGGCCUCCACAAAGAUGGCUGCAGCUUAGCUUUGACUUCCCGGGGGGGAAUGGAGGACUUUGGUGCAUGCCGCAAAAGGGGUGUUCCCUCUUAGUCCUGCGAGCGCAGCGAGUGUCCUGUCUUCCUACUAUUUUCCUUAGUGCAGAUCAGAGCCACACGGUAGUUCUGUGGCCAAGGCCUCCCUGUAGCCAGGGCUUGGGCCUGUCCUUGCGUGGCCGCCUGUCCUGCUGGCGGCGGUGACAGCCCCGUACUCGGGGUGUGUGUCCCAAGCUUCGGAGCCCUCUGUCCCUGAGCAGCCCGCCCGCCCUGUAAUCAGGUGUGGGGAGGCUGCAGCGUUGCAGCCGGCUGCUUUAGCCAUCCAGCUGGUGGGAGUGACCCCUCCCUGUCCCGUCAGAGGGUGCAGGUUGAGGUGCUGUUUGUGUGUGGGGUGACCUCCCCGCUCGGUGGGUCGAGGUAGCUCCCUGGGCUUCCAAAGACGAGAC
ensembl:lncRNA